rnacentral:rRNA from 1 species
GAGGGGCAGCGGGAAGGUUAGCUUGCUAACCUUUGCCGGCGACCGGCGCACGGGUGAGUAACACGUAUGCAACCUGUCCGGUACAGGGGGAUAAGCGGCGGAAACGCCGUCUAAUACCGCGUGACAACCCGAGGGGGCAUCCCCUUGGGUUCAAAGGAGAGAUCCGGUACCGGCUGGGCAUGCGGCGCAUUAGCUAGUUGGCGGGGCAACGGCCCACCAAGGCGACGAUGCGUAGGGGUUCUGAGAGGAAGGUCCCCCACACUGGAACUGAGACACGGUCCAGACUCCUACGGGAGGCAGCAGUGAGGAAUAUUGGUCAAUGGGCGCAAGCCUGAACCAGCCAAGUCGCGUGAGGGAAGACGGCCCUACGGGUUGUAAACCUCUUUUGCCGGGGAGCAAGCCUGAGCACGUGUGCCCAGGCGGAGAGUACCCGGAGAAAAAGCAUCGGCUAACUCCGUGCCAGCAGCCGCGGUAAUACGGAGGAUGCGAGCGUUAUCCGGAUUUAUUGGGUUUAAAGGGUGCGCAGGCGGGCUGUUAAGCCGGCGGUAAAAAUUCAGGGCUCAACCCUGUCGAGCCGUCGGAACUGGCAGUCUUGAGUGGGCGAGAAGUAUGCGGAAUGCGUGGUGUAGCGGUGAAAUGCAUAG